UACGGAGGGGGCGAGCGUUAUUCGGAAUUAUUGGGCGUAAAGGGCGCGUAGGCGGCCUUGUAAGUCAAAGGUGAAAUCCCUCGGCUCAACUGAGGAACUGCCUUUGAAACUGCAAGGCUUGAGGCCGGGAGGGGGUAGCGGAAUUCCCAAUGUAGCGGUGAAAUGCGUAGAUAUUGGGAGGAACACCAGUGGCGAAGGCGGCUACCUGGACCGGUUCUGACACUCAGGAGCGAAAGCGUGGGGAGCGAUCCGG
rnacentral:rRNA from 1 species